AGGGAGCGUCAACUAUGUUAAAUGCGCGUGUGCAAGGCUAAAGUCUACAAAACUUAGUCCACUCUGUACAUAAUAAAUUCUAUUUUUGGGAACAGAAAACUGUAUUAAGAUCAAAUGUUUAAUCGAUGACAACAUUUGCAGAAUGUAGGCCAAAAUCCAUCUCGUUCCAUCUUCUCCCAUUGCGCGUAAGUGGGCUUUCUCUCACUUCCGUAGAAACGCCAAGUGGAUGAAUUUCACCACCACGCGGAAGCACCGCGGUUGUACAGUACUAGCAUAGAAAGAAAGUGUGGCUGCCCCAAAGAGACAUGUAGGUGAACAGUGGAGACGGAUAUGAAGGACUGUGGUCUGUCAUGGAACACCAUCUCCAGACAGAAGCCUUAUGUCCUAAAUAGGAAUUAAGCAAGGAAGUAUUCUGUCAUCGAAUAUUAAUUCUCAUAUCCAUGGCUUUGAAAACUUUUAUUAAAUUUGACAACAACAGCA